UUAAGGCACGCGGUGAAUGCCA
rnacentral:miRNA from 39 species